rnacentral:SRP_RNA from 2 species
CCGUGCUAAGUGGGGAGGUAGCGGUGCCCUGUACUCGCAAUCCGCUAUAGCGAGGCCGAAUCCCCACCCGAGGUACAAUGACUUUAUGGUCUGCCUCAAGAGAGUGGUGUUGACGCUUAGGUCCUGCGCAACAGGAACCCAUGAACCCUGUCAGGUCCGGAAGGAAGCAGCAGUAAGUGGUCAUUCCUGUGUGCCGCGGGGAAGCCUAGGUAGAGCCAUGAACUUGAGUAACGCAUAGGGUUGUUGUAUCAACGGUGGGUGCACGG